GGCCUCGUAGCUCAGCUUGGAUUAGAGCACUUCCCUCCUAAGGAAGGGGUCGCAGGUUCGAAUCCUGUCGAGGCCG
rnacentral:tRNA from 4 species